rnacentral:rRNA from 1 species
AUUGAACGCUGGCGGCAAGCCUAACCCAUGCAAGUCGAACGAGUGGCGGACGGGUGAGUAAUGUCUGGGAAACUGCCUGAUGGAGGGGGAUAACUACUGGAAACGGUAGCUAAUACCGCAUACCAUCGGAUGUGCCCAGAUGGGAUUAGCUAGUAGGUGGGGUAAAGGCUCACCUAGGCGACGAUACCUAGCUGGUCUGAGAGGAUGACCAGCCACACGUGAACUUAGACACGGUCCAAACUCCGACGGGAGGCAGCAGUGGGGAAUAGUGCACAAUGGGCGCAAGCCUGAUGCAGCCAUGCCGCGUGUAUGAAGAAGGCCUUCGGGUUGUAAAGUACUUUCAGCGGUGAGGCGUUACCCGCAGAAGAAGCACCGGCUAACUCCGUGCCAGCAGCCGCGGUAAUUC